CGUAGGGGGCUAGCGUUGUCCGGACUUAUUGGGCGUAAAGAGCGUGUAGGCGGCCAAGUAAGUCCGGUGUGAAAACUCGAGGCUUAACCUCGAGAUGUCAUCGGAAACUAUUUGGCUAGAGUCCGGAAGAGGAGAGUGGAAUUCCUGGUGUAGCGGUGAAAUGCGCAGAUAUCAGGAAGAACACCUAUAGCGAAAGCAGCUCUCUGGGACGGUACUGACGCUGAGACGCGAAAGCGUGGGGAGCGAACAGGAUUAGAUACCCUGGUAGUCCACGCCGUAAACGAUGGGUGCUAGGUGUGGGCGGUGUCGACUCCGUCCGUGCCGAAGCUAACGCAUUAAGCACCCCGCCUGGGGAGUACGGCCGCAAGGCUA
rnacentral:rRNA from 1 species